AACUUAAGCAUAUCAAUAAGCGGAGGAAAAGAAACUAACAAGGAUUCCCCUAGUAACUGCGAGUGAAGCGGGAAAAGCUCAAAUUUAAAAUCUGGUGGCCUUUGGCCAUCCGAGUUGUAAUUUAGAGAAGCGUCUUCCGCGCUGGACCGUGCACAAGUCUCCUGGAAUGGAGCGUCGUAGAGGGUGAGAAUCCCGUCUUUGGCACGGACGCCCAGUGCUUCUGUGAUGCGCUCUCGAAGAGUCGAGUUGUUUGGGAAUGCAGCUCAAAAUGGGUGGUGAACUCCAUCUAAAGCUAAAUAUUGGCGAGAGACCGAUAGCGAACAAGUACCGUGAGGGAAAGAUGAAAAGCACUUUGGAAAGAGAGUGAAACAGUACGUGAAAUUGUUGAAAGGGAAACGCUUGAAGUCAGUCGCGUCGUCCGAGACUCAGCCUCGCCUCGGCUUGGUGUACUUCUCGGCCGACGGGUCAGCAUCAAUUUUGCCCCUUGGAUAAUGGCGAGGGAAAUGUGACACCUUUGCGGGUGKGUWAUAGUCUCUAGUCGCAUGCAAGGGUCGGGAUUGAGGAACUCAGCACGCGCCUUCGGGCGUCGGGGUUCGCCCACGAUACGUGCUUAGGAUGUUGGCGUAAUGGCUUUAAACGACCCGUCUUGAAACACGGACCAAGGAGUCUAACAUGCCCGCGAGUGUUCGGGUGGAAAACCCGUGCGCGCAAUGAAAGUGAAAGUUGGGACCUCUGUCGUGGAGGGCACCAACGCCCGGACCAGACCUUCUGUGACGGAUCUGCGGUAGAGCGUGUAUGUUAGGACCCGAAAGAUGGUGAACUAUGCCUGAAUAGGGUGAAGCCAGAGGAAACUCUGGUGGAGGCUCGUAGCGAUUCUGACGUGCAAAUCGAUCGUCAAAUUUGGGUAUAGGGGCGAAAGACUAAUCGAACC
rnacentral:rRNA from 1 species